AGUGAACGCUGGCGGUGGGCCUAACACAUGCAAGUCGAACGGCAGCACAGUAAGAGCUUGCUCUUACGGGUGGCGGGUGGCGGACGGGUGAGGAAUACAUCGGAAUCUACUUUUUCGUGGGGGAUAACGUAGGGAAACUUACGCUAAUACCGCAUACGACCUACGGGUGAAAGCAGGGGAUCUUCGGACCUUGCGCGAUUGAAUGAGCCGAUGUCGGAUUAGCUAGUUGGCGGGGUAAAGGCCCACCAAGGCGACGAUCCGUAGCUGGUCUGAGAGGAUGAUCAGCCACACUGGAACUGAGACACGGUCCAGACUCCUACGGGAGGCAGCAGUGGGGAAUAUUGGACAAUGGGCGCAAGCCUGAUCCAGCCAUACCGCGUGGGUGAAGAAGGCCUUCGGGUUGUAAAGCCCUUUUGUUGGGAAAGAAAAGCAGCAGGUUAAUACCCCGCUGUUCUGACGGUACCCAAAGAAUAAGCACCGGCUAACUUCGUG
rnacentral:rRNA from 1 species